UACGUAGGGUGCAAGCGUUGUCCGGAAUUAUUGGGCGUAAAGAGCUCGUAGGCGGUCUGUCACGUCGGCUGUGAAAAACCCGAGGCUCAACCUCGGGCCUGCAGUCGAUACGGGCAAACUAGAGUACUGCAGGGGAGACUGGAAUUCCUGGUGUAGCGGUGAAAUGCGCAGAUAUCAGGAGGAACACCGGUGGCGAAGGCGGGUCUCUGGGCAGUAACUGACGCUGGAGGAGCGAAAGCGUGGGGAGCGAACAGG
rnacentral:rRNA from 1 species